UGCUCUAUUACGUAAGAAUGAAUAAUCAAGUGUCCAAAAGCAUUAGGACUCUUAUUAUUUAUAUGAUUAAUGUGCCUUAAAAGAGAUGAGUGUGCAGUUAUGACUCUCCCAAUAAGAGUAGAUGACUCCCUCUUGUGAAAUACUUGAGAGUCCAUGAUUAGAAUGACUUUUUUGACCAUUUGCUUAUAUUCAUCUUUUCCAUGGGAUCUUAGUGUGAGUUGUCCCCCCCUUCUUUUCUCGCAUCAACCCCCAUCUUUAAAAUGAUUUUUUCUCAAAUUGGGGACAUUCUCCUGUAAUGGCUUAACUGACUUUGCUUCUUGCAAGAAAGAAACAACACACUAGAGAAAGAAAGUUUAGGAUUAGAUAGAGUCUCUUUUCUUUCUUCCACCAAGGGAAUCAUGUUC
rnacentral:lncRNA from 1 species